rnacentral:rRNA from 1 species
GUGCCAGACUCCUACGGGAGGCAGCAGUGAGGAAUAUUGGUCAAUGGCCGAGAGGCUGAACCAGCCACGUCGCGUGAGGGAUGACGGCCCUACGGGUUGUAAACCUCUUUUGUCGGGGAGCAAAGAGAGUCACGUGUGACUCAUUGAGAGUACCCGAAGAAAAAGCAUCGGCUAACUCCGUGCCAGCAGCCGCGGUAAUACGGAGGAUGCGAGCGUUAUCCGGAUUUAUUGGGUUUAAAGGGUGCGCAGGCGGAGGUGCAAGUCAGCGGUCAAAUUGCGGGGCUCAACCCCGUACUGCCGUUGAAACUGCAUCCCUUGAGUGCGCGAGAAGUAUGCGGAAUGCGUGUUGUAGUGGUGAAAUGCGUGGAUAUCACUCAGAACUCCGAGUGCUAAGGCAGCAUACCUGUUCUCAACUGACGCUCAUGCUUUAAAGUGUGUGUAUCGAACAGUAUUAGAUACCCUUGUA